GUGCAGGCACUGCUCUGCACAACAGGAGAGGAAAUCCUGGAUGGCAACCAACCUUCCCUGCCUCCCACGCCAGCCUCUGUCCCUCCUGCUCACAGCUGCCAUCCCAUCAGAGAACACCAGUGUUGGCAUCAGCUUUUGCUCAAGGUGAUCUAUGGUUCAGAUGUUAGUCUUUUUAUCUGUUGCCUGGAUUUCUCUUGAAUAAAAGGAGACUGGCAUAUUUUCCUCCUUUUUGCUGCAAGGAAGGCCUAACGAUAACACCGGAUUUGAAGCACGGUUCUCGGCGUUGAGCACACUGACGGGACCAAGAGGAAGGCGAGGUUAUCGUUGAUGAGAUCCUGUUCACCUUAAUCAAAGACAAAACCUGACCCCCAGAGAAGUAGCUCAGGACUGCUUGUGUGAGGCACCUGCAGGAUGGGCCUGGCCUCGCUCUCUCAGGUACAGGAAGAAAGAAAAACGCCAGCUCUUGUUCAUGAAGGAGAUAAUCCCAGCUGUCACGCAGCCGCUCAGGAGAGCCGAGUCCUGUUUGCUCCAGUGACUAAUUACAGCAGAACAGAGCACAUCUUGUCUCUGCUGGCAUUUCAGUUUGAAGGACCUUACCACCCAAAACCUGGUAUCCCCGUUUUUUCCUUUCCCUGCCCUGGUGGCUGGUGGUGCAGCUGCCCCAGCGCUGAGCACCGGCAGCUUAAAGCACAGUGACGGCAAGCAGCGUUAAAGAACACGCUCUUACUCAAAGGAGCAGCUCCCUGCAUACCCUGGAAUUAGAGCCGCUCACUUUUCUGACCAAAAGCCUGUUUUUACUAUUGUUAGCUCUGUAGAGCCAAGGAGCUCUGGGAGCACGAGCUGGCUUCUAUUCUGUUUUGUACAUCAUCGACCAAAUUGUCAGCUAAUUUCCUAUUGUGGGAUCUUUAUCACCAUCAGGGACCUAUGAGGCAGAAUGAAUAUUUUUUACUUUCAAAUCUCAUGUGGAAGCUGCGGGUUGCCAGCGGGGAAAAAAAAUUCUGACCUGUAAAUUUAGCAAAUAUGAUAGGAAAGUAAUUGAAAAUGAAAAAUAAGGAAAGGUCCUUAUUUUUAUCCUGUUAAAGACUAAUUAUAUUACUAAUUAUAUUACUGAAUUAUAAACACAUUUUUUAAAAGUGUCUUUUUCAGUUUUGUGUGUGUGUGUGAUGUUUCUCCUUUUUUCCCUUUUGUGUCUUUUUUUGUCAGAUGUUCUUCAAGGCUCUUUUAAGUCCCUUGGUUUCAAAUCACGUUGAAACAUAUAGUUUUGUUAACCCUAAAACUGGCAUCCUAGAGGAGUCAAAAAUGAGAUUGGCUUAAAAAUCUUAAAUUCCAGAAAAAAUAAGAUGUAAUUUUUAAACUUCUAAUCUUUUAUCAAAUUUAUAUUUUCAGAUGUUACAGAUGUGAGGGGCAGAAAUGCACACAAAGAAAAAGCAGCUUAAAACGGUCAUGGGUUCAUUCACGUCCAAGAAUGGCAGUUAUAAAGGAAGAAGCAAAUAUUGAAACUCAAGAUAAAAUCUUGAGACUUUUCAAAACUGAGCACCCCCAUCCCCCCAGUCCAAAGCAGUUCUUUUUCUGGAAUUUGGAUUGUAAAUCUCCACUAAGAAGGUAGAGCAAAAAUACAGCACAAUGUUGUCAUUUCUGCAAAGAAAAAUUAACUUAAAAAAAAACCCUAAAAGCAAAGCCACUUAAAGCUCAGCAGCUGGUAUGAAAAAACCUGAAGCACUGGAAGACUUGCAAGUGCAGAUUAAGGUAUACUUCUCCUAGCCAAUUUUAUCUCCAUGUCUCUUUGCUCAGUGCAUGUCCUUUUUGAGGUGAAGACAGUUAAAGCCAACCAUCUCCUGAUGCUUUGUUGAGGUCAACAGUAGUUUUAAAUGUGAAAGGACUGAAGCACUCAGUCCCUGUCUAGGAAGCCAUUACAGCAAGACCUGUUGACCCAAUAGCUCCUUACACUACACUGCUAUUUUAGGAAGUUCAUGGAACAGUGUAAAUUAUCCUGAGAUGAAUAAAAUCAUAAAGAAGAAAAGCUUGUAACUGGAAAGCAUCAGUCCUGGUGGAGAGUGGACUAAAUCAAAAUUAUGCAGGAAAACAAUUCAGCUAUACUGAAAAAAAAUAUUUAUGGGAGACAUUUGCACAGUUUGUAACUUACAGAAAAAAACUUCAUCUCAGGCAAGGACCCCGUGGCAGAAAAUAUACUGCGAAUAGAAU